AUUGAACGCUGGCGGCAGGCCUAACACAUGCAAGUCGAGCGGAAGCACAGAGCUUGCUCCUGGUUUCAGCGGCGGACGGGUGAGUAAUUCAUAGGAAUCUGGCUGGUAGUGGUUGCUAAGGUCCGGACGCGGGGGCUAAUACGCCAAUAGCCCAGAGGGAGUACGUGGGGAAUCUUCGGACCUUCGGCCAUUGGAUGAGCCUAGGUCGGAUUAGCUAGUUGGUGGGGUAAAGGCCUACCAAGGCGACGAUCCGUAACUGGUCUGAGAGGAUGAUCAGUCACACUGGAACUGAGACACGGUCCAGACUCCUACGGGAGGCAGCAGUGGGGAAUAUUGGACAAUGGGCGAAAGCCUGAUCCAGCCAUGCCGCGUGGGUGAAGAAGGUCUUCGGAUUGUAAAGCACUUUAAGUUGGGAGGAAGGGCAGUAAGUUAAUACCUUGCUGUUUUGACGUUACCAACAGAAUAAGCACCGGCUAACUUCGUG
rnacentral:rRNA from 1 species